rnacentral:rRNA from 1 species
AAGUCGAGCGAACGGACGAGAAGCUUGCUUCUCUGAUGUUAGCGGCGGACGGGUGAGUAACACGUGGAUAACCUACCUAUAAGACUGGGAUAACUUCGGGAAACCGGAGCUAAUACCGGAUAAUAUCUUGAACCGCAUGGUUCAAAAGUGAAAGACGGUCUUGCUGUCACUUAUAGAUGGAUCCGCGCUGCAUUAGCUAGUUGGUAAGGUAACGGCUUACCAAGGCAACGAUGCAUAGCCGACCUGAGAGGGUGAUCGGCCACACUGGAACUGAGACACGGUCCAGACUCCUACGGGAGGCAGCAGUAGGGAAUCUUCCGCAAUGGGCGAAAGCCUGACGGAGCAACGCCGCGUGAGUGAUGAAGGUCUUCGGAUCGUAAAACUCUGUUAUUAGGGAAGAACAUAUGUGUAAGUAACUGUGCACAUCUUGACGGUACCUAAUCAGAAAGCCACGGCUAACUACGUGCCAGCAGCCGCGGUAAUACGGUAGGUGGCAAGCGUUAUCCGGAAUUAUUGGGCGUAAGCGCGCGUAGGCGGUUUUUUAAGUCUGAUGGAAAGCCCACGGCUCAACCGUGGAGGGUCAUUGGAAACUGGAAACUUGAGUGCAGAAGAGGAAGUGGAUUCCAUGUGUAGCGGUGAAUGCGCAGAGAUAUGGAGGAACACCAGUGGCGAAGGCGACUUUCUGGUCUGCAACUGA